CCGCCCCCGGCGACGGCCCCUGUGGCCUCCAAGGACCCGGGCUGGCAGGGGCCCGCUGUCCCCGGCGUCCCGGCCGCGCCUGGGAACUGGCUGACUGAGCCCUGUGUUUGACAAAUAAUGAACUUGGCACCCUUAGGAAGGAAGCCCUGGAAGACUGCUCCUCACCAGUCCCUCUGGCCUGCCUACUGCCUCUGACAUCUGCAGUGAGAAUGCAUCCAGUCUCAAGGUAUCUGGAUUUCUCUGGCUGCUCAUCUCCUCUGUAAAAUGAAGAGACGCCUGGAAGACCACACAACUUUGCUGCUGUCUUUCCAGGAGAAGUCAGUGGUAAGCUAAGAGUCCGUGUGCGUUUUCUCUUUUUUAUUCAUUCAGCACACGGGCGCUGCUGCAGAUACACGGCAACAGUACACGUUUUUUAGAGCUUACCUAAGAAGAAUGAAAGAUGUUAAUAUAAUCGUAUCUAACAUUUAAGUGUUUAGCAUGUCCCAAGCUUUAUUGAGAGCUA